ensembl:lncRNA
CUUUCCCCUCUUAGAUUUUUGUCAAUCCUUUCAUAACACAAAAACAGGAUAAAUUUGUUUGAGGGUUUUUGUUGUUUUUUUUUUUUAAUUUUAUUUUGUCUAAACAGUGGAUAUAUACCAACAAAAGAAGAUUGCAUGGUAUUUACUUAACCUCAACAUCUUUAUCAUCUUUUUCUUCCUUCACCACUAUGAAAAAACUCAGUCAUUCCUUUUGCAGAGUAUGCAUCUGUUGGUAGGCACUUGGUGAAGAAGAUUACAUUUUAAGUCUUUACAUUUCAUGAGUGCAAUACUGCAUGCUUAAAAACCAUAUCUUUGAUAUUUAAUGGUGUCAUUUAACACCUGAAUGGGCCACAGCCAGGAAUAAAAUUUACUUCUGUUUGACUAACAGGUUUGAUUUUGCCAGGAGUGUGACCAGAUAAAUAGAAGGUGAUUAAAAUUAAUGAAGCUGUGAAAACCUUGAAAGCCUCAGCUAAACAGAGAAUUUUUAAGCCUGGUUUCACACUAAAAUGAAACAAUCAACUCCCUAGAAUGAAAUGCUGUCAGCUUUCAAGCUGGAGUUUCAUCUUGAGUUUAAAAGCUGGAGAUGAUGAAAUGGGAUUGUCUGACCUCCUGGAAGUCUCACUACUGGCUGUCCAUUAACAUACACCUUUUGCAGCAGGCUACUUUCUCAGACAUUCAUAUUAUCGGGGCAGAGAAGGUCGUUUCCUUCUGCACUCAGAUUCCAAAUGAGAGCCAGGUUUGGAGCCUUUUGGAUUCCUCCUGGGGGAAUCUGCUCCUACAGCAAAUACAGAAAACUUUCAAGAAAAACUGGAGCCUGCAGUUCUUCACUGCGAGACAGAUCAGUCUUGAUAAGCUGAGGAAUAAGAAGGAUGAUUAUCCCUUCUUCUAUUCACAUGCAACAUUAAAUACUCUCAGUUUAAACAUGCCUGAAUGUUUUCUUACCAAGAAGUGAGUCAUCUUCACUGUUUUCUACUAACCAUUAACCAAUGCAUGAUCUGGAAGAUCACACUGCUAGUGGCUGUGGCUGAACAAGGCAGCUAACCCAUUUUGGUCUCAAGGAUGUGUUUGGGUCCGCUCCUGAAAAGCAGCUCAUGGUCACUGGAAUAUGCAAUAUAUAUGUAUAGUAAUGGACAGGUCAAUAUCACUAUAGAAAGGUGGCACAGCAGAGGGGCUCAGUUCCUCUGAAGAAACGGUUGCUGAGUAAAUGGCAUGAGCUGGUGUUCUCCAAGUGGGGACAUCCUACUCUUAAACUCCAAUAUUUAUUCAGCUUGGUUCAGCUUCAGAGUGUGGAUUUUGCAUUAGAACACUUGCUAAGCAGAUCUUUUCAAAGUCUACCAUAUUACAUUUGCAGAUGGCAUCAGCUGAGUGGUGCUGUUGUCACUCCUGAGGACAAGAUGCCAUCCAGAGGGACCUGGACAAGCUCAGGGAGUGAACCCAUGGGAACCUCAUGAGCCAAGUACUCAAGGUGAAGCACAAGGUGCUGCACCUGGGUUUGGAACAGCCCCCAGUGUCAGUCCAGGCUGGGAAUGAAGGUUUUGAGAGCACCCCAAAAAGGACUUGGUGGUGGUGGUGGAUGAGAGGCUGGACAUGACCCAGCCAUGAGCAUUCACAGCCCAGAGAGCCAAAACUGUCCUGGGCUGCAUCCAAAGCAGUGUGGGCAGCAGGGGAGGGAGGGGAUUGUGCCCCUCUGCUCUGCUCUGGUGAGACCCACCAGAGAAAGAAAAUAAAUUUCUUGUGAAGGUGGUGAGGCA